UACGGAGGAUGCGAGCGUUAUCCGGAUUUAUUGGGUUUAAAGGGUGCGUAGGCGGCUUGGUAAGUCAGCGGUGAAAUUCAGGUGCUUAACAUCUGCCGUGCCGUUGAAACUGUCGAGCUAGAAUGCGGAUGCCGUGGGAGGAAUGUGUGGUGUAGCGGUGAAAUGCAUAGAUAUCACACAGAACACCGAUUGCGAAGGCAUCUCACGAAUCCGCGAUUGACGCUGAGGCACGAAAGUGCGGGGAUCAAAC
rnacentral:rRNA from 1 species